rnacentral:rRNA from 1 species
GACGAACGCUGGCGGCGUGCUUAACACAUGCAAGUCGAGCGGUAAGGCCCUUCGGGGUACACGAGCGGCGAACGGGUGAGUAACACGUGGGUGACCUGCCUCUAGCUCUGGGAUAAGCCUGGGAAACUGGGUCUAAUACCGGAUAUGACUCCACGGCGCAUGUUGUGGGGUGGAAAGCCUUGUGUGGCUAGAGAUGGGCCCGCGGCCUAUCAGCUUGUUGGUGGGGUGAUGGCCUACCAAGGCGACGACGGGUAGCCGGCCUGAGAGGGCGACCGGCCACACUGGGACUGAGACACGGCCCAGACUCCUACGGGAGGGCAGCAGUGGGGAAUCUUGCGCAAUGGGCGAAAGCCUGACGCAGCGACGCCGCGUGAGGGAUGACGGCCU